GGGGUCAGGGUCUCUUUUUUUGUUAAAGAGAAAUGAAAAAAACUGCUGCCUGCUGCUGUCUGAGGCAAAAGCUCAUAUGGAGCAUACCUGAGAAAGCAAGACAGCACAUAACCUCAGACCAGGAGCUGAGAGUGUGUGUGCGCUCACCCACUCGAAAUGAGUCUUGAGAUUCAACAGUACAAAAUACUUGGGAAAAAUAUAACUCUAGAAAAGCUAGCCAAAAAAUCGACAGUUUGGAAGAUAAAUUCAUACUAGAGAAUAUUAAAAAGUCUGUAAUAUUAAUAGAGAAUAUUAAAAGUCUGUAAAUGCUUUAAAAUGAAUGUUUAAGAUCCUCAAAGAGACAGCAAAUGAAUAAUUUACAUAUAAUACAGGAGAGAAAAAUCAUGAAACAUGGGCAAAAUUAAAACAAGCUCAGACUGAUCUAUAAAAGAACAAAUUUAAAAAUUGGAAAUGAAAGAUAUAAUGUAUACACAUGAACUAUAUUCCCAGGGUUGUACAUCAUAACAUUAAAAUAUAAUGAAAAGUAAAACUGUCAUUAGAUGAGUAAGGUUAGAUCAUGAAGGGUCUUAAAUGCCACACUAAAGAGCUGUGUGUUUGUUCCUGACAACAGUGAGGUACCACUGAAGGCUAGAGGUUGGCAAAAGCAGUGGAGUGACACUUCCUGAAAAUCAUCCUGGCUGCAUUAUGGAUUAAAGAAGGGUAAAACUUCAGGCUGGGGAACCAGGUAGAAGGUUGUUGUCUUUCUCAAGAGAGAAAACAAGGGGUCACAAUCCAAUGCCUCCAAGAGCCAGACAUGUAACAUAAAUGAGUGAAGCAGGCAGGUUCUAAGAUAGUAGGGAGUGGUGGGAACUGUGAAAAAUGAAAAGCACAUGCCUUGUUGUAAAGGAUAGCCACUAUUCAGCACCAAUUGAUAGUUUUCAUGCAAGAAUAUUGCCCAGGAUUGCUAGAUCUUCCAAAUAUUCAAGAAAAUUUUAAUGUAACCUUUUAAAUUUCAAAAUCUUGCAAAAAAUAAACCCAACCAAAUAUUGACCAAAUCUGGUGCAAAGGUUACCAGUCUGCAACAUGUGAUUCAAAAUGAGGUAGUGUCAGUGGAGAUAAAGGGGACAAACUCAAGGGAUAGCAUGAAGGAAGAACUGACCAGAUAGUAGUCAGUCGACUGUGGGCUGUAGAAGAGAGGCAGAACAAUGGAUGACAGCUAGGCUUCCAGUCUGGUCACUGGGUGAAUGGUAUGCCAUUCACUAAGCCAUGAAACACAGGUAGAAAGGACAUUCAGGUAGCUAAAGCUAAUCUGCAGCAGGAAUAUAAGACUCAGGAAGGGAAUAGAAAUCAUUUUCAAGCUGUACCCUUCCAUCUCAGCCCACCGCUCCCAUCCCUCCACCUGAAUCAGCUGCAUCAGUGACGCCUGGUCAGAGCAGGAGGAGGGCACUGGGACCAGUAGACUAGGUCUGAGAGAAGCUGGCUAGAUGCACUGAUCAAGUGUAGCCACCCACAGGAGCUGAACAGUGAGGCCAGGUGGUAUUGCCUGGCAAUGCCAGGGUGGUGGCAGUCCUGGUGACUUGGGAUCAUAACCCAAGGGUGGCCAGUCAAUCAUUGCAGGCUGUGGGAUCUGGGCAGCUGAGCCAACUGGGGACCCCAAAGAGUUAGGAAACAUAAAAGAACAGGGAAUCCAGAAAAUAUCGUCUCCACUUAGGGGAAGCUAGGUUUCAAAGAAGAUUGAGACUGUGACCUCUUGCCCCCUUAUCAUCCCUAGUUGCUGAAGUCUGAAGGCAUCAACCCAUUUUACCCCAGCCACAUACUGGUCAUAAGCCUUUCUGUGACAAAGAGGGAAAUCUUGUCAUUUGCAACAAUAUAGAUUUACCUUGAGGGUAUCGUGCUAAGUGAAAUAAGUCAGAUAGGGAAAGAUAAAUACUGUAUUAUCUUGCUUAAAUGUGGAAUCUAAAACAAACAAAAAACAAACAAACAAACAAAAACUCAUAGAAACAGAGAGCAAAUUGGUUACCAGAGGUGAAGGUGGGUGGAGGGGUGGGGGAAUGAGUGAAGGUAAUUAAAAGUACAAACUUCCAGGUUUUAAGAUUAGUGUGUUCUAGGGAUGUAAUGUACAGCUGAUUCUUAAAGAUAGCUAAAGGAUAAGUAGGAGAGCCAGAGUGAUUCCUUAAAAGGGGACCCUUAUCACCUGCAGCAUAAGAGCAGACAGCUGAGGAGCAGGCUGGGGACUUAGUAAGAGCUGAAUUCCAGAGAAACUUAAAUGCUCAGCCAAGGUUGUACUGUUAUGCUAAGGUCAGGGGCUCCAUUGGAAAAACCUGGGACCCUAAAAUAUGAGCUGAAGACAUCUAAGUGGAAGCUCCUGGCUCUGCAGACUUCCCUGACGCCUCAGAGUUUGCAGAGGGACCCGAACAAGAGCCCUUAACCCAUGCCCAAGACACGAAAGGGGGCCCUUCUCACAAAACACAUGUGUUCUCUCUCCCCGCAAAGCUGCCUUCACUUCAUCUCUUGGCUUCCAAGCCAAUAACUAGAGUUAAAUCCCAGCAUAACCCAGAUGGAAAUGCACUGAGCAUGAUAAGGAAAUAAACUGUGCCACAGAGGAACUAUAAGAACUAGCUAGCAUGUACUGGUAGGAGCCAGGAGAGUAUUCCUGGAACUGGAUUUGAGGGUGCUUGACCAAGGGGACCAGAACAUAAGAUGAUAAACAAGAAGUCAUUGACUUGAGAGCACCUCCUCCACAUGCACUUUGGCAAGAACCCUAGGGAAUGGAGCAAACUCACUGCUGGGGUGCCUCUCAGAAACCCAGAAAAAUGAUGGCUAACGCUCAGCGAAGUGAAAAUGCCUGAGUUGCCCUGGCAGAAGGCAGAGGAAGGAAUCAAAAGAUGCAGGGAGAAGGGAAUGCCACAUGGGUCUGUUAUGCGAGGCCCAGAGAACUCUCCCAUUCACUGAGGCCAUCAGGAAUACACUGGUGAGACGGGGCACCAAGAUCGCUAACAAAUUCAGUGAGGCUUCUCUGCAGACCAGACUAAGCUUGGUAAUAGCCAUGAAGAUGAUGGGGCUCCUAAUAGAAGCCAGGUGGGCAACACUUAACUGCCAAAAGUUAAGGGGCCACCAUUACUGUCAAAUCACAGUUAUUGUCGGGAACAGCCAAGUAGGCUGACCCACAGGGAGUUACGGAGAUCGUUAAUAAAACAUCUGUAGGGACACCUAGAUGAGUAACCAUAAGGAUGCUGCUUAACAUCUACAAUCAGAAGAAAACAAAAAUGGAGGAACAGGGACUCAUGGUGGUCACCCUAAUAAAAAGUUACAAUCCUUUGCUCAGUUCCCAGACCUGAGCCAACUUUCAGACCUAGAACCCAGCGACUGAAGAAAUGGCCAGGUCCACAGGAUGGAGUACCCCACAGCACUGUGACCAGUAUGUAUGGUAAUGAGUCCCUCAGUCCUUCCCCAUUUACUUGGGUGACUAUGCACUUGGGAAAAGGAAAUACUCUGUCCUUUCAAGGAUUAUUGGGCAUAGGUCUGAACUGACACUGAUACUCAGAAACCGAAGUGUCAUCAGCAUCCUGCAUCUUACUGGGGACCCAUCCUCUAGCUCACCGAAGAUGCGUACACUUAAGACCAGCUGGAGGAGGAAAUAAGCCAAGCCUGGUUUAUGAGUGUGGGAGAGAGGGGUGUUCAGUUUGUAUGUGCAAGCUAUAAAUGGUUGGCAGCUUCAUUCCAGGCACAUCCAGGAAGCAGCCUUCAGUGGAAAGGGGAAAAUGUCUCAGUAGGUGACGAUCCGGGCAGUGCACUUGGUCAUCUACUUCCUGUGGAAGGAGAAAUGGCCCAAGGUCAGAAUAGAUACAGAUUUCUGAGCAGUGGCCCUGGCCUGGCCUGUUGGUCAGGAAACUGGAAGAAAAAGGACUAGAAGAUAAGACACAAAGAGGUUGAGGUAGACAUGUGACAUGAGAAUGUGCAUGAUAUAUGAAGACUUUUCUCUAUCACUUGUUACCACCACAAGAAAGCAUUCUCCAUUAAAAAGGCACUGAAAAACCAAGUGGACAGAAUGACUUGGUCAGUUGAUUUUAACUAUCCUUCACCAUCAGCCACCCUAGAACUAGGACAGACACAUAAACAAACUAGACAGAGACAGAGGCUCUAUGACGUGGACUCCUUCUUACCAACUGGCUUCUGUCCCCUCCAGGUGUUUAGCCAGCCAACAACAGAGCCAGCACUGAGCCCCUGACAUGGCACUAUUCCUCCACCACACCAGCCAUCUUCCUGGUAGUAAGUAGAAUGUAUCAGGCGCACUCGUUCCAUCCUGGAAGAGCAAGUGGUACUUCUCACAGGGAUGCCUAUUCCUUGUACAGGUUCUGCCUCUCCUGCUCACGGGACUUUAGCCAGCACCACAGGCAUGAAAUCACACAACUUAGCACCUGACUAAGGAAUCCACUGCACAGCAAAGGAGGGAUCCACGGGUCACAUCACACACUGCGCCAUCCAGAAGCAGCUGGCCUGAGAAAACCCUGGAACAGCCUAUUGAAGAUUCAUCAUCAAAAUGAUCUUGACAGCUUAUGCUUAUCUCUGUGAUCAGCAUCAGGCCCAACUUCUCUGGAGAUUUUAUGAGAGAAGAUCCUUACCCAGAAUCCGGCUGGCUUCACUGCGGCUACUUUCUGGAGUCUGAGACCCCAGCUCUGUCUUAGCAUAUGAGCUCAGCUGGCACAAAAGUGUUUCACCCACAGGCCCUGGACUGGUCUUCUUCAUUUGAGCAUGAAGUGCCAGGGCAUUCCUACGGGCAUGUUCAGCACAGAAGGACACCCUAAGGAAACAAAACAUUAACAUUUUA